UAGGGAAUCUUGCGCAAUGGGCGAAAGCCUGACGCAGCAACGCCGCGUGGGGGAUGAAGGCCUUCGGGUUGUAAACUCCUUUCAGUGGGAACGAAACUGACGGUACCCACAGAAGAAGCCCCGGCCAACUACGUGCCAGCAGCCGCGGUGAUACGUAGGGGGCGAGCGUUGUCCGGAUUUAUUGGGCGUAAAGAGCUCGUAGGCGGUUUGGUUAGUCGGGUGUGAAACCUCCAGGCUUAACCUGGAGACGCCACUCGAUACUGCCAUGACUAGAGUCCGGUAGGGGACCAUGGAAUUCCUGGUGUAGCGGUGAAAUGCGCAGAUAUCAGGAGGAACACCAGUAGCGAAGGCGGUGGUCUGGGCCGGUACUGACGCUGAGGAGCGAAAGCGUGGGGAGCGAACAGG
rnacentral:rRNA from 2 species